AUUAUACAGCCAUGCACAAUUUGCAAAAUAAUAUUCAUAAAAUUCUAGACAAAAAAUGUGACAUAGUACAAAAAAUCUCAUCAUUUUUGGAUCAUUAUUUUAAUUGUUAUUAAUUUAUGAAUUGAGAAAAAAAUAAAAAAAUGCAUGAACAAUGUACAUGAACACAUGUGGAGAAAAAAAAGAAAUCAAAGAAGUAAUUAACCAAAACUGCACCGGCCGGAUUCGAACCAUGUAGGUUUUUGAAAACAAAGUGGCGCGCGCUGCAUGGCAAUUCCAUGCAGCCAAUCACGUUUAACCCUAGCCAAAACAUAAGGCAACGCUAUUCACAUGAAAAAACCGUGGCCAAAU
rnacentral:lncRNA from 1 species